rnacentral:misc_RNA from 1 species
AAGCGUUUAGUCCAAUCAAGUUCUGCCUUUCUUGCCGGAUCAAAUAGAUAAGUGUCCAAGCUUUUGUUCGGCAUGUACUCGUAAAUUAGUAUCUUUUCUUGUCUCUCAAUGCAGCAGCCUAAGAGUCUGACAAGAUUUCUAUGUUGGAGUUUGGAGAUUAACUUCAUUUCAUUCUUGAACUCUCCGAUGCCUUGACCAGAGCUACUAGAAAGUCUUUUAAU